GGCGAGAUAGCUCAGUUGGUAGAGCAGCGGACUGAAAAUCCGCGUGUCGACGGUUCGAUUCCGCCCCUGGCCACCA
rnacentral:tRNA from 1 species